rnacentral:rRNA from 1 species
AUGCUGGGUACCGUCGCCCUUACUGUUGAUGGUUCAUUCCAGGUGGCCGAUGGCCCCGCGGCUGCUGGAAUGUUUCUUCGAGAUGGUGCAUGCGUAGUGUUAUUUGCUGCUUAUCGAGUUAUCUUUCACUGCAACGACCAACUGGAAGCGGAACUUCAUGUGAUCAUGCAAGGAAUGGUUUUGGCCAUCCAACACUCCACCCUUCCUGUUGUCCUGCACUCGGAUUCUUUUGAAGCUUUGUCCAGUCUUUCAAUAAUGCCUUGCCAAAAUAGAGUUGCUGAUCGGUUGGCCAACUAUGGCCGUUCCAAGAGAACUACAGAUAUGUGGUUGGGCUCAGUUUCACCUUAUGGUGCCACAACACCAGGAGGGCUCGCGCCUGAAGCUUCCACGCUGCCCGGCGAGCCCUUUCUCCGCCGCGCCGCGCCUCUCCCCUCUCAUGACCUCCCCCUCCCCUUCUCUCUCACCUCCAUCUCCUUCUCUUCACAGGAAACAUGGCAGCGGAAGUCGAGUCCUUCGCCUCCGGCUGCUUUCCCGGCAAGCUCAAGCCAGAUUCACGCCCAGGGAAGGAGAGAUAACGGACGUGGGCCACACAACCUAGGCGGCGGAUGUGAGCGUGAUUAUCCACCGGAUGAUGCUGAUGGCGUCCCGAUCCACCUCCGGCGGCUCUCGGAGGGGCCUCAUCUCGUGCGGUCGUGCCUGCACAGCAGCUGCUGCAGCGCCGGCGAUGCGCCCCAACAAGACUCGCAGCAGGCCCUCCACAGCCUCAUCGCCGGCUUCUACGAGGAGGCGUUCGACCGGCUGCCCUGCGCGACCAUGCCCGGCCUCGCCCGCUCCCUUGCCACCGGAGGCUUCUGCCUCGGCCUCCUCGACCCCGUCUCCAACAUCGUCCUCAACGCCGUCUCCCUCCUCCCGGACGACGACGUCGGAGCAAUCGUCCGAGUUUCUUCUCCACGAAAAAAGAUGAGAAAAAACAAGGACGCCUGGCACAAGAUCGCAUGGGCGUCCUUCCACGGUCUGAUCGAUUUCAUGAUGAGCUACUUCGGAUGCCUCACCAAAGAACAGGCCAUCCGCUACCUCCGCUGCGCCGGCGCCGACCUCCUGCUCGCCGUCAUGCUCGUCGAGCACGACCUGUAUGCUGCCGAUGAGCAGGUUGACCUCGGCUCCGCGAGGUUGCGGGCCGCGCUCAGGUCCCCGGCGCUCCUAGUAGGUCACCCCGCGCCGGACACGCUGGUGCAGCUCAUGACGUCCCCGCUCCCCACCUCCGCCGCCCCCUCUUUGAAGCUGCUGGUUAGAGGUGGCCGGCAGAGUCGUCUCACCUCCGACGAUGUCGGCGCCAUCCACCGUCUGUUGCGUCGACAGAGCCGCCUCCCCUGUGACGCCCAAGUGACCCACGGCCACGGAGUCGUCGUCGUCCGUGUUCGUCAGGAGGUCGACGAUGACGUUGUCGAGACGACUUCCGUGGACGUCUCGGAAAACGCCCACACAACGACCACCACGACCACUUUCCGGCGAGCCGGCGAGCGCAUCACGUCGCUGCGGCGUCCUGGGGACAUGGCUGCCAAGAUGUCAGCCCGCUUGACGAAGGCAGAGGCAGACGCCCAAAAAUACGGCCUGGACACUUCCCUCAAGAUGCGCCUCCAUGACACCAUACACGCCUCCUACCUCAAGGCGCUCGCCCUUCUGGUGCCCUGCACUAGCACUGGCACCACCGGAGGCUCCCUCAUGCGCAGCAUCCUCGUCGCCGGCCACUGCUACGGCUCCAUGGACCCCGUCUCCAACAUCAUUGUCAACUCAAUUUGGUACCUCACGGGCCGCCCUCUUCAGGAACCCGACCGCAGCAACAUCGAACCGUACACAGAUAUCCUCGACACGCUCUCUCUGCUUCGCACGGAGCUCCACCAGACGAGCGUCGCCUACGUCGCCGCAGCCUCCAAGAUGAAGUUGACCAGAAUGCAUGUGUCGACACCGAACCGCCACCACUUCCACCGCCGCUUGAGCAGCCCCCGAGCAACGCCUUCAGGAAGGAGCACGCCACCGUGGUGUUGUCGUUGCUUGGAACGGGGGGUCUGA